rnacentral:lncRNA from 1 species
AUUUUCAUGGUUUCGGACCUUCUGCCACGUUUUCAACCACGGUUGCCGGUGCGUCCGUAUUCGGGCUCCCGUGACCUAUAGCACACGUAUUCUUGGCCGAAAACGGGUCCGGAGGCCAUUUUCACGGCUUCGAACCAUACCCCACGUUUUCGAUCCCAGUGGCCGGUGUGACUGUAUUCGGGCUACCGUGACCUAUAGCACACAUUUUCACGACCGAAAAUGGGUCCGAAGGCCAGUUUCACAAAAUCGGACCAUCCC